CCUACGGGUGGCAGCAGUGGGGAAUAUUGGACAAUGGGCGAAAGCCUGAUCCAGCCAUGCCGCGUGUGUGAAGAAGGCCUUCGGGUUGUAAAGCACUUUCAGUGGGGAAGAAAGCCUUGGGGCUAAUACCCUCGAGGAAGGACAUCACCCACAGAAGAAGCACCGGCUAACUCCGUGCCAGCAGCCGCGGUAAUACGGAGGAUGCGAGCGUUAAUCGGAAUUACUGGGCGUAAAGCGCGCGUAGGCGGUCUGAUAAGCCGGUUGUGAAAGCCCCGGGCUCAACCUGGGAACGGCAUCCGGAACUGUCAGGCUAGAGUGCAGGAGAGGAAGGUAGAAUUCCCGGUGUAGCGGUGAAAUGCGUAGAGAUCGGGAGGAAUACCAGUGGCGAAGGCGGCCUUCUGGACUGACACUGACGCUGAGGUGCGAAAGCGUGGGUAGCAAACAGGAUUAGAUACCCCAGUAGUC
rnacentral:rRNA from 1 species